AUUGAACGCUGGCGGCAGGCCUAACACAUGCAAGUCGAGCGAGCGGCGGACGGGUGAGUAAUGUCUGGGAAACUGCCUGAUGGCGGGGGAUAACUACUGGAAACGGUAGCUAAUACCGCAUACCCUCAGAUGUGCCCAGAUGGGGUUAGCUAGUGGGUGGGGUAACGGCUCACCUAGGCGACGAUCCCUAGCUGGUAGGGGAGGAUAACUAGCCACAAGGGAACUGAGACACGGUCCAGACUCCUACGGGAGGCAGCAGUGGGGAAUAUUGCACAAUGGGCGAAAGCCUGAUGCAGCCAUGCCGGGUGUGUGAAGAAGGCCUUCGGGUUGUAAAGCACUUUCAGCGGGGAGGCGUUACCCGCAGAAGAAGCACCGGCUAACUCCGUGCCAGCAGCCGCGGUAAUUC
rnacentral:rRNA from 1 species